AAUCCAUGGUGAGGACACCUUUGCAAUAGGUCCUUGUAUCUCUCCCAUGCACCAUAAAGAGUUCCUAAGUCCAUCUACACAAACGAAGAGAUAUCAUUACAUAAU
rnacentral:snoRNA from 1 species